rnacentral:rRNA from 1 species
AUUUUCCGGUUGAUCCUGCCGGACCCGACUGCUAUUGGGGUGAGGCUAAGCCAUGCGAGUCAGCGCUCUAGAUGAGGAGGCGCGGCAUACGGCUCAGUAACAUGUGGUUAACCUACCCUCAGGACGGAGACAACCUCGGGAAACUGAGGCUAAUCCCAGAUAGAUGAUGGAUCCUGGAAUGGUUCUUCAUCCAAAAAAUAUGCAUUUCAUGCUAUGCAUGUUGCCUGAGGAUGGGACCGCACCCUAUCAGGUAGUUGGUGGGGUAAUGGCCCACCAAGCCUAUAACGGGUACGGGCCCUGAGAGGGGGAGCCCGGAGAUGGGCACUGAGACAAGGGCCCAGGCCCUACGGGGCGCAGCAGGCGCGGAACCUCUGCAAUGCGCGAAAGCGCGACAGGGCCACCCCGAGUGCUAUCCGCUGAGGGUAGCUUUUCCCUAGUGUAGUAAGCUAGGGGAAUAAGCGGGGGGCAAGCCUGGUGUCAGCCGCCGCGGUAAUACCAGCUCCGCGAGUGGUCGGGACGAUUAUUGGGCCUAAAAGCGUUCCGUAGCCGGGCUAUCAAGUCUUCUGGUUAAAUUUCAAGGCUUAACCUUUGAACAUGCUGGAGACACUGUUA